GAGUUUGAUCCUGGCUCAGAUUGAACGCUGGCGGCAUGCCUUACACAUGCAAGUCGAACGGCAGCACGGGAGCUUGCUCCUGGUGGGCGAGUGGCGAACGGGUGAGUAAUGCAUCGGAACGUAUCCUGGAGUGGGGGAUAACGUAGCGAAAGUUACGCUAAUACCGCAUAUUCUGUGAGCAGGAAAGCGGGGGACCUUCGGGCCUCGCGCUCUUGGAGCGGCCGAUGUCGGAUUAGCUAGUUGGUGAGGUAAAGGCUCACCAAGGCGACGAUCCGUAGCAGGUCUGAGAGGAUGAUCUGCCACACUGGAACUGAGACACGGUCCAGACUCCUACGGGAGGCAGCGAGUGGGGAAUUUUGGACAAGUGGGGCAACCCUGAUCCAGCCAUGCCGCGUGAGU
rnacentral:rRNA from 1 species